rnacentral:rRNA from 1 species
AACGUAGGACACAAGCGUUAUCCGGAGUUACUGGGCGUAAAGGGCGUGUAGGCGGACCUAUAAGUCUAUUCUGAAAGCUCCUGGCUAAACUGGGAGAGGCGAAUGGAGACUGUAGAUCUAGAGUGAGGAAGAGGAAAGUGGAAUUCCGCGUGUAGUGGUGAAAUGCGUAGAGAUGCGGAGGAACACCCGUGGCGAAAGCGACUUUCUGGUCCUUAACUGACGCUGAGGCGCGAAAGCAUGGGGAGCGAACGGGG